CCAUACUGUUACUACUUCGCUACCCCUUGUCCACUUACCGCCCCUCAUAUAUUCGAACCCCUUCAUGCUUGUAGUACAGGAAACUUUAGUAGGUUGAACAAUACUAACGAAUCUAUAUGGUUUGCCGAUAAUUAUCCACAAACUUCUAUACUUCCUGCACCCAUCCCCUUUAAAGAGAAGGCACCCUUGCAAAGUCAUUGGUGGAAGGCAGGUCUUGCUCUUCAUCCUACCUUUGUCCGCUACAAUCAGACCGCUGCCAAAGUACAGCACGGAUUUCCUUUUGCAACAUGGCAUAAGAUUUUUGGGAACAAAAAUAGUACUUGUCAUGAGACGAAUGCUACCACAACUACUGACAUUCUUUGUUAUACUUUUACAGCCGAGGCACAAACGACACCUGAUGCUCUUUUCCUUUUGUGCCCUCCAGGGAACUUUACCAUUUCAAUCGUGCCCCAGGCAAAUAACAAAACCGGUUACACUAUACACUGUACUAAUGCUACCUUGACUAACACUCUUAACACCUCCCAUACCUCUUUUAUCGUCCUGCUUUUAUGUGUACCCCCCUUUACUCUUCACCCUGUGAGAGCCGAUCCAUUCGCAUUGUCUUUAUCGGAUUCUCUCCUACGUAAACUGGUUAAACGGGAUAUUGAUCCCACUGACAUCGUGGCAGUAGCUGCGCUAGCCCUUUCAAUUAUAGAAGAGACACAAAUAAUGCAAUUACAUAAACAAGUCACUUUCUUAGCAGAGUCCUUGCAGCAUUUCAUGCAUUUAGAAAGUCAAGCCUGGAAACAUCAAGAGACACUCGACCGUCUCUUGGAACGACAAAUCACUACCCUUUCUGCUACUGUGCAAGUAUUGUUACAUCAACAAGCUUUUAUGCUGCGUUAUAUGCGCUUGUCAUGUCAUUAUAAAUAUCGCCCUGUUUGUGUAACCCCUAUCCCUUAUAAUUCAACCAUGUAUAAUGAUUUGGAGGACAUUCUACGCAACGCCACCACAGGCGUUGCCUUUGCUACCGAGCUUCAGCAGCUGGAUUUGAUCAUCAUGGCCAUAGAGAAUGCUACCCUGCGCUUUUCCCAAGAUUGGGAGGACUCAAUCUCCAAAACGGUUAAAUGGUGGGACGAUUUUCAAUACCAAAAUGUCCUCCAAUGGAUCCUCCAUGGUGCUCUUGUACUUGUAGGGGGUUUUUUGUUAUGUGUUUUCCUCCCAUGCCUUAUUUCUUGUUUUCUUUCUCUUCUCAAAAGAUCCCUCGCAGCCCUUAAGGCAGAAUUCCGUAAUGCUAACAGCACCCAUCCUCUUUAA
rnacentral:lncRNA from 1 species